rnacentral:sRNA from 1 species
AAUUCGUUACACAUGGAUCUAUAUCUAUCACUGGACUCUGGUACGAACGUUCACCGCAUAAAUUUUGACUCGUGUAAUGCUAAAUUGCUAACUUCUAAGGCUCGUGUAGCUCAUUCAAACAGUAGUUUUCUGUUUUGUUUUUCUGUAAAUAAUGGUGCGCUGGUACAUCGAAUGUAGAUUUGAUAAAUAAUGUUAACCUUCAGUGGUUUAAAUUAAACACUAAGUGCUUAGGUUAAAUUCAUAGGUUCAGUUCAUGGAAAGUUUCUUUCCAUCAGCAGCAAUUUUCUGUUUAGGUUGAUUUUGAAGAAACCCUCUCUGAUUUAGUGUGAUUCCUUUACAAGAUUGGCCUCUGAGAGUCCGUUUGAUGAUUUCCAUCAAUUAUAUUAGUGUAUGCUACAUUGGUGCUAGGGAUAAGUAAAAAAAUAAUUUCAGUUAAUAUCAGAAUUAUUGAGCUGUAUAAACCUGGGAGUUAAAUUAGUGCAAUAGGUCUCUAUCAUUCUUCUUGAGGUUUAAUUCUAUAAGUUUUUGGUUGGUUCCAGACGCGGUUCCAGACGCGUAUCAAACUGGUUGAUUCACUGGUGUGUUUUUUUCGUUUUCGUGUCGUUUUAUGUUACUGUCAGAAGGAUGGCUAUUCCCAUAUAUCACACAUAUUUGGAGAGUUCAGCUGUUGGAAGGUUGGAAUUGUUUUUUUUUUCUCAUCUGGUGUAUUUCUCAAAACUGACCGGUGGUUCUGAAUAUUUCAAUGCCUGAUCAGGAUCAAUUUUUGCAUUUCUCGAGUUCUUAACAGAAAAGGAUUUUGCUAUACACACUGAAACCAGUGACAUUAUUUCAUUGUGAGAUGCAGAUUACACUUUUCCCAUAUAUAUAUAGUGGUUGGCAAAGGGCUCCUGGAGUCCUGGUUCUUAAAGAUCGAUAACAGCUUUCACCACAAAGUUCUCUGCAAAUUGCAUAAGAUCAAAUACAUGAUUCGUUAGUGCAUCCUUGCCAUCUGUUUUGAUACUUCUAUAUGCAAGUGAUCUGGUGUUCUUUGGUGAAUUCAUGUGUAACCACUGCUCCUUGAGGCAGUUGAAGGGGGUAUUGGACUAGAUCCAUCCUACACAUAACCCUCAUGUGCAAGGGUUCUGCUUGGAUAUGUAGUUUUUCUACACACCAUUGACAACUGAUAAGUAUAUCAGUAACCAUGUUUCCUCCUGCAAUCUAAUAUCGUUCUGUGUUCUGUCAUUUGUUGGUUAGUACUGUUUUUUUAGUAUUGACCUCAACUUAGUAUUAUCAUUAUCCAUGAUUUGGUCCCUAGGUGGUUUAAGGAGUAAGUAGCACAUUUACACCUAUCCUUGUACCUGAAUACAUUGGUUGUUUCCUCCUCCUGCAAUCUAAUAUCAUUAGGUCAUUUGUUGGUUAGUACUGUUUAUUUAGUAUUGACCUCAACUUAGUAUUAUCACUAUCCAUGAUUUGGUCCCUAGGUGAUUUAAGGAGUAAGUAGCACAUUUGCACCUAUCCUUGUACCUGAAUACAUUGGUUGCAAACUUCGCAGUGGUAACUCAAUAUAGAAGUUAGUUUACCUUUGCAUGUUAUAGUUUUUUGUGUCUGGAUCUCAGUUGACCUCUGGUUUUCUAGUGGAGUUUAGGCUACUGCAUCAGUAUCACUUAUUUAACUGGUAGUAUAAUUCAACCUUUUAGUUUUAUGUUUGUACAUUCUAGGAAUAGUAUGCCUUAGUUUUUAUGUUUAUACAUUCUAGGAAUAGUACGCACAUAGCGUAAUUUCCACAGUACCAUAAGAGAAUCGUCGAGAACGAAAUCCUCAACCUAGCAUGUCAUAAGUCAUUCUCUUUCAUGCACCUGUAAAUCCUUGUAUGUAUCGUGUGGCAAUUAUCUGUUGUCAUAUUUUUGACGUAAUGCCUUACUUUGCUUCUCUUGUAACUGAAUUGUUUGUUAUAAUGUACUCCCUCUGUCCCAAAAAAACAAAUCUAGUAUAAGAUGUGACGUCAGUUCAAAUUAGUAUUACUAGGAUGCGUCACAUCCUGUGUUUGUUUAUUUUGGGAGUUGUUCAUGUUUUUGUUUUGACUCUUGAACAUACUUGUUUCUGGUCAUUUAUUGCACUGGAUUUGUCAAGUUAACUAGUGACGCUGACAUCAAUAAUUUUUUUGAAGUUUUGAUGAAUUUGUUCAUUCCCUAUCCAACAUAAUAGAUAUUUGUGAGACCCAACAUAUGUGAAAACGUUACUGUUGUACUGCAAUUUUUUUGGAUCUACAGCAUAUAUUCAUCCAUUUACUUGGUGAUGUCUG